CCCUGGUUAGCUCAGUUGGUAGAGCGCUCCACUUGUAAUCGAGAGGUCCCGGGUUCGAUUCCCGGACUAGGUG
rfam:Ixodes scapularis strain Wikel colony gcontig_1108378536662, whole genome shotgun sequence.